rnacentral:rRNA from 1 species
GAUGAACGCUGGCGGCGUGCCUAAUACAUGCAAGUCGAGCGAACAGACGAGGAGCUUGCUCCUCUGACGUUAGCGGCGGACGGGUGAGUAACACGUGGAUAACCUACCUAUAAGACUGGGAUAACUUCGGGAAACCGGAGCUAAUACCGGAUAAUAUAUUGAACCGCAUGGUUCAAUAGUGAAAGACGGUUUUGCUGUCACUUAUAGAUGGAUCCGCGCCGCAUUAGCUAGUUGGUAAGGUAACGGCUUACCAAGGCAACGAUGCGUAGCCGACCUGAGAGGCUGAUCGGCCACACUGGAACUGAGACACGGUCAAGACUCCUACGGGAGGCAGCAGUAGGGAAUCUUCCGCAAUGGGCGAAAGCCUGACGGAGCAACGCCGCGUGAGUGAUGAAGGUCUUCGGAUCGUAAAACUCUGUUAUUAGGGAAGAACAAAUGUGUAAGUAACUAUGCACGUCUUGACGGUACCUAAUCAGAAAGCCACGGCUAACUACGUG